rnacentral:rRNA from 1 species
UACGUAGGGGGCAAGCGUGUCCGGAUUUAUUGGGCGUAAAGAGCUCGUAGGCGGUUGGGUAAGUCGGGUGUGAAAACCUCAGGGCUCAACAUCUGAGACGCCACUCGAUACUGCCCUGACUCGAGUCCGGUAGGGGAGCGUGGAAUUCCCGGUGUAGCGGUGAAAUGCGCAGAGUAUCGGGAGGAACACCAGUGGCGAAGGCGGCGCUCUGGGCCGG